rnacentral:rRNA from 1 species
GACAGCGGUGCCAAGCGUUAGGCGGAAUCACUGGGCUUAAAGCGUGUGUAGGCGGCUCGGUAAGUCCGCUGUGAAAGUCCAGGGCUCAACCCUGGAAUGCCAGUGGAAACUGUCGAGCUAGAGUCCGGAAGAGGCGAGUGGAAUUCCUGGUGUAGCGGUGAAAUGCGCAGAUAUCAGGAGGAACACCAAUGGCGAAGGCAGCUCGCUGGGACGGUACUGACGCUGAGACGCGAAAGCGUGGGGAGCAAACAGG